AGGCGGAGCGGCCCAAGCACCGCCUCGGCGGCCGCCACCUCCCGGCCGCUUCCCCGCCCGGCGGGACGCUGAGGUGCGGUGCGGCGUGGCGGGAGGCAGCUGACAGGGCUCGGGGCGGGAGCGGCGGUCCCUGAGGCGAGGGGACCUCGAAACGGGGAAACAUCUGGGAAACGUCGAAAAGUAGAAACAGGAUGUUCCUUAAAAAUGGUCAUUCCGGGUAUUUUAGCUGGCGUGGUGUUCGAAACGAGCUCGGGGCGGUUCCGGUGAGAACUUCCGUGGUGAUUUUUUGCUGCACAACCGCUUUAACGGUGGUUUCGUUUCUUGCCUCCCCGCCUGAGGCAGGGCUGCCCCCGGCUACACUUACCUCUGCCAGCCUCACCUCACUGACUGCUUCUUCAAGGAACGGCCGGGAGAAACGUUUCCCCGCCCCGCGUAGAUUCCCAUGAGUCAUCUUUGUCUGCAGAAAUAUUCAUCAGAUCACUCAUACGGAUUUUAGCAAAAGCCCUCUCAAAAUCAGGAAGACAGCAAUGAACUUUUCUUUGUAUCUUGAACGUGUGUACUUACUUCCACUUCUGAAUAAAACCAAGCUGUUGGUUCA